rnacentral:rRNA from 1 species
AGUGGCGGACGGGUGAGUAACGCGUAAGAAUCUAACUUCAGGACGGGGACAACAGUUGGAAACGACCGCUAAUACCCGAUGUGCCGCAAGGUGAAACCUAAUUGGCCUGGAGAAGAGCUUGCGUCUGAUUAGCUAGUUGGUGGGGUAAAGGCCUACCAAGGCGACGAUCAGUAGCUGGUCUGAGAGGAUGAGCAGCCACACUGGGACUGAGACACGGCCCAGACUCCUACGGGAGGCAGCAGUGGGGAAUUUUCCGCAAUGGGCGAAAGCCUGACGGAGCAACGCCGCGUGAGGGAGGAAGGUCUUUGGAUUGUAAACCUCUUUUCUCAAGGAAGAAGUUCUGACGGUACUUGAGGAAUCAGCCUCGGCUAACUCCGUGCCAGCAGCCGCGGUAAUACGGGGGAGGCAAGCGUUAUCCGGAAUUAUUGGGCGUAAAGCGUCCGCAGGUGGUCAGCCAAGUCUGCCGUCAAAUCAGGUUGCUUAACGACCUAAAGGCGGUGGAAACUGGCAGACUAGAGAGCAGUAGGGGUAGCAGGAAUUCCCAGUGUAGCGGUGAAAUGCGUAGAGAUUGGGAAGAACAUCGGUGGCGAAAGCGUGCUACUGGGCUGUAUCUGACACUCAGGGACGAAAGCUAGGGGAGCGAAAGGGAUUAGAUACCCCUGUAGUCCUAGCCGUAAACGAUGGAUACUAGGCGUGGCUU